GGGCAUUUAGCUCAGUGGUAGAGCGUUCGACUGCAGAUCGAAUGGUCGGGGGUUCGAUUCCCUCUGUGCCCU
rnacentral:tRNA from 1 species